rnacentral:rRNA from 1 species
UACAGAGGUCUCAAGCGUUGUUCGGAUUCAUUGGGCGUAAAGGGUGCGUAGGUGGCGCCAUAAGUCAGGUGUGAAAUCUCGGGGCUUAACCCCGAAACUGCAUUCGAUACUGCUGGACUUGAGGGCAGUAGAGGUGCGUGGAAUUCCGGGUGGAGUGGUGAAAUGCGUAGAGAUCAUGAGGAAGACCAGUGGCGAAGGCGGGUCUCUGGACAGUUCCUGACACUGAGGCACGAAGGCCAGGGGAGCGAACGGG